AGCGAACGCUGGCGGCAGGCCUAAUACAUGCAAGUCGAGCGCACCUUCGGGUGAGCGGCGGACGGGUGAGUAACGCGUGGGAACGUGCCCUUUGGUACGGGAUAACUGAGGGAAACUUCAGCUAAUACCGUAUGUGCCCUACGGGGGAAAGAUUUAUCGCCAUUGGAGCGGCCCGCGUUGGAUUAGGUAGUUGGUGAGGUAAAGGCUCACCAAGCCUACGAUCCAUAGCUGGUCUGAGAGGAUGAUCAGCCACACUGGGACUGAGACACGGCCCAGACUCCUACGGGAGGCAGCAGUAGGGAAUCUUGCGCAAUGGGCGAAAGCCUGACGCAGCCAUGCCGCGUGAAUGAUGAAGGUCUUAGGAUUGUAAAAUUCUUUCACCGGGGAAGAUAAUGACGGUACCCGGAGAAGAAGCCCCGGCUAACUUCGUGCCAGCCGCCGCCGUAACAC
rnacentral:rRNA from 1 species